rnacentral:tRNA from 2 species
UCCGGUAUGGUGUAGUGGCUAACAUCGCUCGCUCUCAAUUAUCCUUAUCGUGUAUUGUUACCGAGCAGCCCAGGGUUCGAUUCCCUGUACCGGAG